rnacentral:lncRNA from 1 species
GCCAGCCCCUGAGAUGGCCUCCAGUGAUCCUUGUCUCUUCCCACCUAGAAGUCACCAUCUAUGAAGCAGAAAGCAGGCCCUCAGCAGACAUGAAAUCUGGUGCUUUGAUUUGGACUUCCCAGCCUCUAGAACUGGUGCAUGUCACCUUCCUGCAAGGCAACUAGUUUGCAGAUAUGGCCAGAGGGGAAAUUACUGGACAACAAAAUGAAAAGGGGGCAUAAGUCAGCCAGCUCUCUCAAUCCUAGGAAAGGAAACUUCCCUCCUGCUUAUGAAAGAGGACGAUUGUGCUCAGUACCACUUAUCCAGUGCCAACAAUCUAGGCCAAGAAACUUGAAAAAGUGAUAGAAGCAGGGUACCUUUUGCAUCAUCAAACACAGCUCAGGUAAGACUAGUAGCUUCCUUCACUCAACAUUGUAAUGAACUAAUAGUUUCUUCAAAGCCACUCACACCUUUUUUU